UACAGGAGGGAGCUAGCGUUGAUUCGGAAUUACUGGGCGUAAAGCGCGCGUAGGCGGCUUUGUAAGUUAGAGGUGAAAGCCCGGAGCUCAACUCCGGAACUGCCUUUAAAACUGCAUCGCUUGAAUCCAGGAGAGGUGAGUGGAAUUCCGAGUGUAGAGGUGAAAUUCGUAGAUAUUCGGAAGAACACCAGUGGCGAAGGCGG
rnacentral:rRNA from 1 species